rnacentral:misc_RNA from 1 species
UCACAGUUUGCACUGGCAGUCCCGCUAGAGUCCUCGCCAUGACGCGUUAGCAACUAGCGGCAGGGGUUUCGCUCGUUAAGGGACUUAACCCGACACUUCACAGCACGAGCUGACGACAGCCAUGCAGCACCUGUGCACGUUCCACCCUUGCGGGCGUGGCUCCCCUUUCAGGGAGUUAAUCCGUGCAUGUCAAGCCCAGGAUAAGGUUCUUCGCGUUGCAUCGAAUUAAUCCACAUGCUCCGCCGCUUGUGCGGGCCCCCGUCAAUUCCUUUGAGUUUUAGCCUUGCGGCCGUACUCCCCAGGCGGGGCGCUUAAUGCGUUAGCUACGGCACGGAACCCGUGGAAACAGAUCCCACACCUAGCGCCCACCGUUUACGGCGUGGACUAC